CACUCGCGCUCACCGACUUGUGGGGAACUCACACCUGACAAAGGACCUUUCUUAUGGGGAAAGUUCAGAAUUGUGGGGAACUCUCUCGUUCCCCACAAAUAUGGUCAUGGGGUUUUUUGAAUUCUACGUGUUCUACUGAUAAUAUUUAUUCGAUUUGUGGUCAUUUUUGAAAAAAUCCCCAUAAGUCCGUAAAAUUGACUCGCAGUAAUUUUCUCACUGCACCGUAAAACGAAUGUUUGAGGAUGCUGGGAAAUGUUCAUUCGGAACGCAGCGGAAUUUAAACUGGUCCCCAUAUGAUACCAAUUUAUUGCGGGCAAUGGCUGCUCCGAGAAUAUGUGGCCUAAUGGCUAUCCUGUAAGAACAAACUACGGAUUUAUAUGAAUUCAGCACCCCCGGGAUAUGGUUUUCGGGUUUUCACCACAAGAGCAAAUUAUACAACUUUAUUCUUGAAAAUGUUAGAGACUGAGACUUGGAGUCAAAGUCAACAGACACGCUUGCAUGGACAUGAAGGAUGUAAAGAACUAGAGUAUUAUAACUGAAAGCAUUUUGUCUGGAUUUGUGUAUGGAAACAGAAGGAUUUAGUAUUGGUAUCCUGAAUUUUUGUCAACUUCUAGCCAAGAUCCUGUACUUAAGCUGAAUGUGGAGGACAGAUGUACACACAGUACUAGUAUAGAGGGUAUUAUCUCGGUACCUUAAAACUCCAAACGACAGGGAGAAGAAGAAAACUGCAUAUUUCCGAUGUAUCUUCACAGCAACAUGACCCAAAGCACUACCAUUAAAGGAUUUGAUUUGACAUUAAGGAAGUAAAAAAAUGAAGGCAUUAGUCAUAAAGAAAAUUAAAGAACUUUAUGUCUGAAUAUUAUAUCAACAAUACCAUAGAUCUAAAGAUGGAUUAUUUUGCCUUAUAAUUUAUAUUAAUGCAUGUACAUGUAAUUUUAUUCUUUUUAUAUAUACAAUCAUGUAGUGUUACCAUUUUUCACAAAGCUUAAAAAGUUAUGUAGGGCCACACCAAUUUAAUUUCUUGUUCGUCGGACAUUUGAUUUAAAAAAAGUACAAGCAGUUAAAUGAUAAUAUUAUUACUCUUUGCUGGGCAAUUUUUUAGGCGGAGCGUGAAAAUUUGAGCGGACAAUUAUAUUUUUUCUGAUUUACAGAGUAAGCAGAUAUAAAAUACAAUAAAUAGAGCGGAAAUGGAACAGAAAAUAGCACAGAAUUCCUAUGGUGCGAGAAAUUGAAAUUAAUAUUAUUUGUAUGGUUUUGUUUAAAUAAGCGCGUGGGUCCGACGAACAAAAAUUUUCAUUAGUGUGGCCUAGAUCAUUUAGAUUCAAUUCAUUUUUUUCUUCAAAUUACCACAUGCCAGAAUUCAUAAGAAGGAAAUUUAUAUAUGGCUGGUGGUUGUGGCCAUUUUUAGACUAUAUUGAUCUCCUUUAGAAGGAGAGCUCCUUAUAAAAUUAUACAAAAAAUGACCAAAUUUUAAAACUAAAAUGUACAGAAUUUUUCUUUGCCAAAUGAUAGUUCAUAGAACCACAAUUCUUCAAUCAUGUCUACUUGGAGAUCAGUGGAUGGAUAUUCAUAUACAAUACACAGCUGAAGCAGGUUUUGUUAGGUUAUUUUAUUUUCAAAAGGAAUGCAUUAUUUUCUUCAGUCCAUUAAUGUUAAGCUCUUUAAUAGAAACAAUUGUAGAAGAUUUAUCAUAUUUUGUUUAGAAUUUUGAAGAAUUUGUUAAUCACUCAGUGAAAAUUAUCCCUUGUCAUAAUACAAAUUUUUAAAAUGUAUGUACAAAUACUUUUAUGUUGAAAUGACCAUGCAAGGAAGAAAAUAAAACAAGUUUAAGUGUA